UACAGAGGUCCCAAGCGUUGUUCGGAUUCAUUGGGCGUAAAGGGUGCGUAGGUGGCGUCGUAAGUCGGGUGUGAAAUCUCGGGGCUUAACUCCGAAACUGCAUUCGAUACUGCGGUGCUUGAGGACUGGAGAGGAGACUGGAAUUUACGGUGUAGCAGUGAAAUGCGUAGAGAUCGUAAGGAAGACCAGUGGCGAAGGCGGCUCUCUGGGACGGUACUGACGCUGAGACGCGAAAGCGUGGGGAGCGAACAGG
rnacentral:rRNA from 1 species